rnacentral:tRNA from 1 species
GCGCUGUUAGCUCAGCUGGAUAGAGCGUCUGGCUACGGACCAGAAGGCCAGGGGUUCGAAUCCCUUACAGCGCGCCA